rnacentral:rRNA from 1 species
CCUACGGGCGGCAGCAGUGAGGAAUAUUGGUCAAUGGGCGGGAGCCUGAACCAGCCAAGCCGCGUGAGGGAAGAAGGUACAGCGUAUCGUAAACCUCUUUUGUCAGGGAACAAAGGCGGGGACUAGUCCCCGGAUGAGUGUACCUGAAGAAAAAGCAUCGGCUAACUCCGUGCCAGCAGCCGCGGUAAUACGGAGGAUGCGAGCGUUAUCCGGAUUUAUUGGGGUUAAAGGGUGCGCAGGCGGUCUGUUAAGUCAGCGGUCAAAGCCCGGGGCUCAACCCCGGCCCGCCGUUGAAACUGGCAGUCUCGAGUUGGAGAGAAGUAUGCGGAAUGCGCGGUGUAGCGGUGAAAUGCAUAGAUAUCGCGCAGAACUCCGAUUGCGAAGGCAGCAUGCCGGCUCCACACUGACGCUGAGGCACGAAAGCGUGGGUAUCGAACAGGAUUAGAUACCCGGGUAGUC